UGAUAUAUUAAUCCAAUUUUUUUUUAUUAUAUUUAUACUUUAUAGUUCUUUGGUGGGAUACACAUGGAGGUGAUGCUUUUGAGCUUUCAAGGAUUGCACGGCGUUUACUGGGCCUUUGUUGUACCUCUUCUGGUUGUGAGCGCAACUGGAGCACAUUUGAUUUUAUUCACACCAAGAAGAGGAAUAGACUAGAACAUGAACGUUUGAAUGAUCUAGUCUAU